GACGAACGCUGGCGGCGUGCUUAACACAUGCAAGUCGAGCGGAGAUAUAUGGAAGGUUUACCUGAAAUAUAUCUUAGCGGCGGACGGGUGAGUAACGCGUGGGUAACCUGCCUUGUACAGGGGGAUAACACAGGGAAACUUGUGCUAAUACCGCAUAACACAGUUGGUUGGCAUCAAUUGACUGUCAAAGGAGGAAUCCGGUAUAAGAUGGACCCGCGUCCGAUUAGCUAGUUGGCGGUGUAACGGACCACCAAGGCGACGAUCGGUAGCCGAACUGAGAGGUUGAUCGGCCACAUUGGGACUGAGACACGGCCCAGACUCCUACGGGAGGCAGCAGUGGGGAAUAUUGCGCAAUGGGGGAAACCCUGACGCAGCAACGCCGCGUGAAGGAAGAAGGUUUUCGGAUCGUAAACUCUUUGAUGAGGGAAGAAUAAUGACGGUACCUCAAAACAAGCCACGGCUAACUACGUG
rnacentral:rRNA from 1 species